UACGUAGGGUCCAAGCGUUAUCCGGAAUCACUGGGCGUAAAGCGUGCGUAGGUGGCGCGUUAAGUGAGAUGUUAAAACGUGGGGCUCAACCCUGUCGGUGCAUCUCAUACUGGCGUGCUAGAGGACAGCAGAGGCAAGUGGAAUUUGUAGUGUAGCAGUGAAAUGCGUAGAUAUUACAAGGAACACCAAUGGCGAAGGCAGCUUGCUGGGCUACUCCUGACGCUGAGAAGCGAAAGCAUGGGGAGCGAACAGG
rnacentral:rRNA from 1 species